rnacentral:rRNA from 1 species
UAAUACAGAGGUGGCAAGCGUUGUUCGGAAUUACUGGGCGUAAAGGGCGCGUAGGUGGUUCGCUAAGUCCCAUGUGAAAGCCCUCGGCUCAACUGAGGAAUGGCAUGGGAAACUGGUGGGCUAGAGUUCGGGAGAGGGAAGCGGAAUUCCGGGUGUAGCGGUGAAAUGCGUAGAUAUCCGGAGGAACACCGGUGGCGAAGGCGGCUUCCUGGACCGACACUGACACUGAGGCGCGAAAGCUAGGGGAGCAAACGGGAUUAGAUACCCCGGUAGUCCUAGCUGUAAACGAUGAGCGCUGGGUGUAGGAGGUUAUAACCCCUCCUGUGCCGAAGCUAACGCAUUAAGCGCUCCGCCUGGGGAGUACGGUCGCAAGGCUG